rnacentral:rRNA from 1 species
AUUGAACGCUGGCGGCAUGCCUUACACAUGCAAGUCGAACGGCAGCGCGGGCUUCGGCCUGGCGGCGAGUGGCGAACGGGUGAGUAAUAUAUCGGAACGUACCCAAGAGUGGGGGAUAACGUAGCGAAAGUUACGCUAAUACCGCAUACGAUCUAAGGGUGAAAGCAGGGGAUCGCAAGACCUUGUGCUCCUGGAGCGGCCGAUAUCUGAUUAGCUAGUUGGUGAGGUAAAGGCUCACCAAGGCAACGAUCAGUAGCUGGUCUGAGAGGACGACCAGCCACACUGGAACUGAGACACGGUCCAGACUCCUACGGGAGGCAGCAGUGGGGAAUUUUGGACAAUGGGGGCAACCCUGAUCCAGCAAUGCCGCGUGAGUGAAGAAGGCCUUCGGGUUGUAAAGCUCUUUUGUCAGGGAAGAAAAGGCUGUGGCUAAUAUCCAUAGCUGCUGACGGUACCUGAAGAAUAAGCACCGGCUAACUACGUGCCAGCAGCCGCAGUAACAC